GAUGAACGCUGGCGGCGUGCCUAAUACAUGCAAGUCGAGCGAACGGACGAGAAGCUUGCUUCUCUGAUGUUAGCGGCGGACGUGUGAGUAACACGUGGAUAACCUACCUAUAAUACUGGGAUAACUUCGGGAAACCGGAGCUAAUACCGGAUAAUAUUUUGAACCUCAUGGUUCUAUAGUGAAAGACGGUCUUUCUGUCACUUAUAGAUGGAUCCGCGCUGCAUUAGCUAGUUGGUAAGGUAACGGCUUACCAAGGCAACGAUGCAUAGCGGACCUGAGAGGGUGAUCGGACAAACGGGAACGGAGACACGGACCAGAGACCGACGGGAGGGAGCAGAAGGGAAUGUUCGGCAAUGGGGGAAAGGAUGACGGAGCAAGGCCGAGUGAGAGAUGAAGGUCUUGGGAUCGGAAAACUGUGUUAUUAGGGAAGAACAAAUGUGUAAGGAAAUGUGCACAUAUUGACGGUAACUAAUAAGAAAGCAACGGCUAACUACGUG
rnacentral:rRNA from 1 species